rnacentral:rRNA from 1 species
AAACUCAAAUGAAUUGACGGGGGCCCGCACAAGCAGCGGAGCGUGUGGUUUAAUUCGAUGCUACACGAAGAACCUUACCCGGGUUUGACAUACAGGUGGUAGGGAACUGAAAAGGGACCGACCUUCGGGAGCCUGAACAGGUGCUGCAUGGCUGUCGUCAGCUCGUGUCGUGAGAUGUCCGGUUAAGUCCGGUAACGAGCGCAACCCUUGCCGUAUGUUACAAGUGUCAUACGGGACUGCCGGUAUCAAGCCGGAGGAAGGUGGGGAUGACGUCAAGUCAGCAUGGCCUUUAUAUCCGGGGCUACACACACGCUACAAUGGUCAGUACAACAGGUUGCAAAGCCGCGAGGUGGAGCCAAUCCAUAAAGCUGGCCUCAGUUCAGAUUGCAGGCUGCAACUCGCCUGCAUGAAGUUGGAGUUGCUAGUAACCGCGCGUCAGCUAUAGUGCGGUGAAUACGUUCCCGGGCCUU